rnacentral:lncRNA from 1 species
AGAUUGAGGCAGCUUCAUCUCAUUCCUGGUUCAUCCUGAUUCCCUCAGUGGCUUGCUCCUGCAUUAGUAAUGUAAAACUGGCCCAAAGUGUUUAAAAUGGUCAGAAGUUGAUCUUGAUCAGUUCAAAUAUUUUUUGACAAAGAAAAUCAGUUCUGGUCAGUUCAAAUCUAUUUUGACCAGUUUAAACCAAUUCUGCAGAACUUGAGCCUGAGGUCGGUAGGAAGAUGGCUGAAGACUAUGCUGAUUCAAGCCAAAGCAAGGAAUCAGGAUGGGCUGCAAAGGAGAUUCUUCCAGGAUUUCAGAAGUUGGAAGGGAGGCAGAAUCCAUUUGGUAACAUAAACACAUUAUUGCUUAUCUGCUGACUCAACUUGGGAUGAAGCAGCAGCUGAGCCAGUUGUGUGUGUACAGCUCAAGGACAAAGGUCCUUAGCUUCUGCAGAAUACUAUCAUCACCAAGC